CAAUAGCGUAUAUUAAAGUUGUUGCAGUUAAAAAGCUCGUAGUUGGAUUUGUGGCGUACGGUGUGUUCCGGGCACUUGUUGUCUGAGUAACCUGCUGUUGCCAUCCUUGGGUGGAACCUGUGUGGCAUUAGGUUGUCGUGCAGGGGAUGCCCAUCAUUUACUGUGAAAAAAUUAGAGUGUUCAAAGCAGGCUUAUGCUGUUGAAUAUAUUAGCAUGGAAUAAUGAGAUAGGACUUUUUUGCUAUUUUGUUGGUUUGCGCAAGAAGGUAAUGAUUAAUAGGGACAGUUGGGGGUAUUCGUAUUCCAUUGUCAGAGGUGAAAUUCUUGGAUUUUUGGAAGACGAACUACUGCGAAAGCAUUUACCAAGGAUGUUUUCAUUAA
rnacentral:rRNA from 1 species